AUUGAACGCUGGCGGCAGGCCUAACACAUGCAAGUCGAGCGAGCGGCGGACGGGUGAGUAAUGUCUGGGAAACUGCCUGAUGGAGGGGGAUAACUCCUGGAAACGGUAGCUAAUCCCGCAUACCAUCGGAUGUGCCCAGAUGGGAUUAGCUAGUAGGUGGGGUAAUGGCUCACCUAGGCGACGAUCCCUAGCUGGUCUGAGAGGAUGACCAGCCACACUGGAACGGAGACACGGUCCAGACUCCUACGGGAGGCAGCAGUGGGGAAUAUUGCACAAUGGGCGCAAGCCUGAUGCAGCCAUGCCGCGUGUAUGAAGAAGGCCUUCGGGUUGUAAAGUACUUUCAGCGGGGAGGCGUUACCCGCAGAAGAAGCACCGGCUAACUCCGUGCCAGCCGCCGCGGUAAUUC
rnacentral:rRNA from 1 species